UAGGGAAUCUUCCACAAUGGACGAAAGUACUGAUGGAGCAACGCUGCGUGAGUGAAGAAGGGUUUCGGCUCGUAAAACUCUGUUGUUAAAGAAGAACAUAUCUGAGAGUAACUGUUCAGGUAUUGACGGUAUUUAACCAGAAAGCCACGGCUAACUACGUGCCAA
rnacentral:rRNA from 1 species